AUGAAAUCGCCUACACAUCCCAACAGAAGGAUAUGAUGUAUUUUGCAAAGUGUGAUUUAUUCAUAUGACUCUAUGUAUCUUCUUAUUGACAUUUAAUGGAUGAUAUUUGUUUAAAAAGAUGUUUGAGAUUAUUAUGGUUAAGUUCCAUAUUCGAUAAGAAAAGAAUACACACAUAAUAAUCAUGUGCUAGGCACAUAUUGUGAAAGUAUAUCGACAGACAAAGAUUGACCUUCUCACAGGCCUUCUCACAUAGGUAAUUGCUUUUAAUUUUUUUUUUAAGAUAUAUAGAGAUGAGAUAGUUUUAAGCUAGUAUGAACCCUAAAUUGAAAUCUGAGCUUAAAACAAUUAUCCUCUUGACAAAGAAGUCAAGAUGAGGUUACUUAAAUACUUUAAAAAAUAAUAAUAUUAUAAUCAAGGUAGAUGUCUUACCAUCUACUUAGUCUAUUUAAAAGCUAGACAUGAGUUCUUAAUUGU
rnacentral:lncRNA from 1 species